rnacentral:lncRNA from 1 species
AAGAAAGAAGGUGUUAACCAUUUUGUCAUUCAAAAUAUGACUCAUUCUUUCUUAUACAACUACCUUUGUCAGCAUUCUUGCCAUUGGACUGUCUAGCCUUUGACACUGUUAUAUCAUGGCUUGUCGUUAGAGAAGGUAAAGUUUGGAAAAAAGAAGCAGUUACGUAAAGCAAUGUUAGAAAAUCCUUGAGUUUCCCUUAGAAUUUUGUGUCUUCUACGUGUUUUCUAUUUCACAUAGAUUAAGUUUGCAGAGUUGUGUCAUAAUUUCAUGAGUGUAUCUGUCAAAGAGCCCUUUGAAGGCCUAUUUAAUCCAACUAAGACCAUUUUUUCUUGUUUUAAUACCAUUAAACUUGUUCUCUCUUUGAUAACUGAGGGAAAAGAGAAAGACAUUCCAUAUAAUACAUCAGAUGCCUAAGUGCUUUGGAUAGUCAUAAGCCUUUUCUCCUAUAGCUUCCUAAUUAGAAAUGCCUGCUCUGCGGAGUUUUCUUAAGUUUUCCAACUUGCUCCUUCCAUUUUAUAAUAGUCUAUUGAGGAAGACUAUUAUCAAAUAAAAAUCAGAAUGAUCACUGGACACCUAUUUUAGCCUUGGGAUUUAUAUCACAAUUCCCUAAGACUUCAUAUUUCCAGAAAAGAAAUUCAAACUAAAGCUCACAAUUACUAUUAUUAUGGUAAUCCUGAUAAGAUGUACAUUUUAACUAAAAGAAGUUCCCACUAUUUUUUUUCUUUCUACUUUUCAAUAAUCCUUGGGACCUUAGUAGGAGUGUGCAAUAGUCUUGUGGUGUAUUUUUAGUUUAAAAGUCUAUCUGAUUACCACUUGGUAGAUAUUGUCCAAACUCACUUUUGAAUCCAAGUGUUUUUACCCUUAUAUAAUUUUUUUAAAAGAGUAUUUGCUUGUUUCUAUUAUACUAUAACUAUUGGAGCUACUAGGAGGCCUUUUAAAUUUCAACAACAAAUAGGCAGAAUGGAGACUAACUGAAGGGUUGAUGGGCUUAAAGAAAAUAAAUAACCUAACAAAGGCUAAUGGCAAAACCAACAUUAGAAACCAAGUCACUUUACUUGGGAUUAGUGGAUACCAAAAUGUGCUUUCUCGGAAGCAGCACUUUACAAGGAAACAUGAAAAUCCACCUUUGUUGUCCUUCAGCUAAAGGGAAUAAAAUCGUGUACUUUCUGUAAUUUUAACCUUGUUAUAACAGAUGCUACAGAAACUCAAGUGGAACUCUGACUGCCUUGAGAGCUGAAUAAAAUGCAUCCCACCAUCCAUUGCUGCUGCAUCAAGGUAUUAAAAAGAGAGACAGAAGGAAGAGGCGAGAGAGGCACAAGUUCAACAGUGUGAGGGACUUGGACACAAUGGGAGGGAGAAAGAAAUAAAUGUCUAAAUGUCAUGGAAAGAACAGACAAUGAAGGCAUAUGUAAGAGGCCUGCUAAAGCUAUGGGACCUCAGAAGCCUAUUUGUAAGAACUACAAUUUAGAAUAAGGAACUUGCAAUACAAUGCCUGACCUUCAUUUCCUUACGUGCCUCAAUCUUGUCAAAACCUUUGAUUGAUUUUUGUAUGAACAUGAAUUACUGCUACAAUACUCAGUUGAACUACAUGAAUUUCUCAAAGCAGUAAUACAGUGCUAUAGCGUAGCUUAACAUUGUUUAAGUAAUAUGGUUUGCUUAUAUUUAAGUCAUUUCUAAGGGACCCAUGCAAACACAGUCAGGAGAUCUAUUUCUGAUGUAUUUCCAAGGCUAAAAACAAAAAAUGCUGUUAAUGCAUAAACAGUCAAAAAGCUACACAUUGUGGUUUUACAGGGACUUCUAUUUCUAAAGAUGAUGGUUGCAUGAGGGCCUCUGCCUUUAUAAGGGAAAUGUGUAGAUUUUAACUAGCUCUGUAUUAUAAUGUUUGUGUUUUGAAAAAGAAAAGCAUGUUUCUGCACUAAAAAAUAAAUUCCUAAUCAAACCUUUAAAGUUAACAUUUAGAACAGGGACAGAAAUUUCUAUUGUUUCCUAAGUGUUUUGUUGCUGUUGCUGUUUAGAUUUAAAUCAUUUUUUAGAAGUUUUACUGAGGCAUAAUUGAUAUAAAAAAUUGUACACCUUUAAUAUAUUCACUUGGAUGAGUUUGGACAUGUGUGCAUACACCAAUACCAUCAUCACAACCAAGGUACUGAACAUACUUAUUCACCUCCAAAAAUUUUCUUUUGUUCUUUUUUAAUGGUGGUAGUAUAUUUUUAAGAAUUCAGCCUUUGAGCAGGGUAUGAAGGACCUUCAACAACAAAUGCAAAAGUAAAUGAGCUAAGUUCAUAUAAAGGGUUAGCUCUCAGUGAGAUAUUCAAGUUAUGAUCAUAUCCUCAAGAGGCUUGUAAACUGACUGUGGGUUUCCAGUUUGGUUAUUCACAGAUAGGCCUUCAUUUGCUCAUUCACCUAUUCAUUCAUAUAGCCACUCAUUCAUUCUCAAGAAGAGGUAUUUGUCCAUAUCUCACCAUGUGGAUGAGCAGAUGGUCAGUUCUCACUUCUUUUGCCAUUAAGUGUGCUCACCGUUGAGCUCCAGGAUGGUAUUUUCUCUCACUUUGCGUCAUUACCAAAGUGGCUAUCAAGAUUCCCUCCCCUACCUUCUUUUUCUUUUUUCAAUGUUUAAGAGCUGGAGUUAAUUUCUUGACUCCUUUGGUAACACAUGCCGAUAUAUACCACUCAAGGCCUGUUGGAUUAAACUGUUAAAUUUGUCAUCUAGCUAAUGUUUUCUCAGAACCAGACAAAUUAAACAGAGUCAAUUGUUGAAAUUAUUUCAAAAGAUAAACAAUCAUAGAAUGGAAAUAAACUACAGAAAGUAGGGAACAGGAGUAACUAAGUCUCCUAGAAAACAUUUGCAGCAGAUGUUAAGUAUCCAGUCUCGUUGUUAUAAAUGAAUUUCAAAGAAUCUCAUGAGGAGCAGCUUUACAAAAUUUUACUGCACUAACAAAUGGCAGCCAACAUCUGUAGUAAACACAAAAUACUGUACCAUCCUUUGUAUCUCCUUAAAUUAAGCCAAUUUCUGCUUACACAGAAAAUCUGUCUGUGGAAAACACUGCUUAGAAUUUGAAAGCACAUUAAUCUGGAAGCCACAACAGAAGUGUGCUUCAGAAAACUUCUUAAUGUUUUUCUUGUGAGUUAUUCUCUUUACGCUUUUCACAUUACAAUAUUACCAAGUUAUCAUAAUGUAUUUUCUGCACUCCCAGAGCAAGAUAAGACUCUAGUUGUUGCUGGGAACUAUACAUUGUCUAAAUAUGGGUUCACAUUCUCUCACAGUGAUUCUGGAAUCAUACACACAAAUGAGAUCACUGCUGUCACAUCACUGGAAUUAAGACAACCUCUCUACUCACUGGCCAUGUAAAUAUAGAUACAGUACUCAAAUCCUCUGAGGCUUAGCUAAUUAUUGGUUGAUUUGGUCUACACUUACCACAUUAACUAUUUGAAAAGAUUCAUUGAUAUAACAUGUACUAAGAACAGUUCCUGACUCAUAAUCAUUAUUAAGGCAAUAUUUACCAAUAUGUGACAUUAAAAUAGAUACUACUAUUAGAUAAUAAUUCAUACUAUACAUUCAAUAUUUAAGCAACAGAAUUAUAAUUUUGUGAAGUAAAUUUUGUACUCAAAUAGAAAAUCUAAUUCUAUAAUUAUUUUCUGCAAUAUUGGGUCAUAGAACCAACAAAGAAUAUAUGACUAGCUUAGACGUAUGUAUUUACUUAUGUGAUUAGUAAUAAAAUUCUUCACUCAUUCCUAGGUUUGAAUCCCAGAUGCUCUGUGUAGCAGCUGUAUAGUCUUAGACGAGUUGCUUAAUCUGUCUGUACCUCGAUUUCCUCAUUUGUACUCCAAUUUUCUUAUGUGAAAUGGCUUCUCUCUGUUACUGAGGCUGGAUUGCAGUGGCAUUAUCUCGACUCACUGCAGCCUCUGCCUCCUGGGCUCAAG